UACCAUGCAAGUCGAACGGGUAGCACAGAAGAGCUUGCUCUUUGGGUGACGAGCUGGCGGACGGGUGAGUAAUGUCUGGGGAUCUGCCCGGCAGAGGGGGAUAACUACUGGAAACGGUAGCUAAUACCGCAUAACCUCGCAAGAGCAAAGAGGGGGACCUUCGGGCCUCUCGCUGUCGGAUGAACCCAGAUGGGAUUAGCUAGUAGGUGAGGUAACGGCUCACCCAGGCGACGAUCCCUAGCUGGUCUGAGAGGAUGACCAGCCACACUGGAACUGAGACACGGUCCAGACUCCUACGGGAGGCAGCAGUGGGGAAUAUUGCACAAUGGGCGCAAGCCUGAUGCAGCCAUGCCGCGUGUAUGAAGAGGGCCUUCGGGUUGUAAAGUACUUUCAGCGGGGAGGAAGGGUUGUGGGCGAAUACCCUGCGACAUUGACGUUACCCGCAGAAGAAGCACCGGCUAACUCCGUGCCAGCAGCCGCGGUAAUACGGAGGGUGCGAGCGUUAAUCGGAAUUACUGGGCGUAAAGCGCACGCAGGCGGUCUGUCAAGUCAGAUGUGAAAUCCCCGGGCUUAACCUGGGAACUGCAUUUGAAACUGGCAGGCUGGAGUCUUGUAGAGGGGGGUAGAAUUCCAGGUGUAG
rnacentral:rRNA from 1 species